AAUGGCUGUUGAAACAACUGAUAAAGUCAGACAAACAGCGUCUUCAAGAGAAUGAAAUUACAUUCAGUGGAUUCUUCUUGUCAGCUGUGGCACAGGAGGAUAUUAAGUCAUGGGUCGAAGGCAGAGCAGGCAUCGUCAUAUUUCUUAAGUUGAUUGACACAGAAAUUCCAUCCGUUCGGAGGUCUGUCAAAAAGUUGUUUACACCUGAUAUCAAGGCAGCUAUUGAUAAUACUACAGCUGGUGAUACGCUCCGAAACAAGCUUAAACAGUUAUGAGAGAUGGAGAGAGAUGAACAGUGAUUAUAUUUAAACAUUGUAUCUGUAGAUUGCAUCUGUACUGUAGAAAGAUAUUACCAUGUAUUAAGAUAUCAUUUACUCAUCAUCUCUGUUGCUUGAGGAAAAUAAACUUUUUCAUUUCCACAA